CCUGUGAUGAAGAGAUCUUUGGUACAGUCCAAGAUUUCAGGUUAAGUUUGUUUGUUCCGGGGAUCUGCAACUCUCUCUGCAUGUUUUCCUGGCGGGACAGGAACUCGAUGGCUUAAAGUCAUUUUAAUUCAGACAGAGACCAUGGGUUCUACCUCAGCCAAGCCCUUUAAAAAUCAGAAGUAUGAAGACCUCAAGCGACAGUGCCUUGAGCAGAAGAAGCUCUUUGAAGACCCUGAAUUUCCUGCUACUGAUGUUUCUCUCUUCUAUCUUAAUCCACCACUAGCAAAUGUGAAGUGGAAACGCCCAAAGGGCAUCUUGUUCAUCUCAGGUCUACAUAUCAACAUGUCUAGAUUAGGCUAUCACAUCAUUGUGUUGUUUUGACAGCUCCAAUUUGUGACCCUCAUACAUUGGAUUAUCAGCCAUCAAUUCCAUCAUUAAUAUAAAUG